AUUGAACGCUGGCGGCAGGCCUAACACAUGCAAGUCGAGCGGAUGAAGGGAGCUUGCUCCUGGAUUCAGCGGCGGACGGGUGAGUAAUGCCUAGGAAUCUGCCUGGUAGUGGGGGAUAACGUCCGGAAACGGGCGCUAAUACCGCAUACGUCCUGAGGGAGAAAGUGGGGGAUCUUCGGACCUCACGCUAUCAGAUGAGCCCAGGUCGGAUUAGCUAGUUGGUGGGGUAAAGGCCUACCAAGGCGACGAUCCGUAACUGGUCUGAGAGGAUGAUCAGUCACACUGGAACUGAGACACGGUCCAGACUCCUACGGGAGGCAGCAGUGGGGAAUAUUGGACAAUGGGCGAAAGCCUGAUCCAGCCAUGCCGCGUGUGUGAAGAAGGUCUUCGGAUUGUAAAGCACUUUAAGUUGGGAGGAAGGGCAGUAAGUUAAUACCUUGCUGUUUUGACGUUACCAACAGAAUAAGCACCGGCUAACUUCGUA
rnacentral:rRNA from 1 species